rnacentral:rRNA from 1 species
CCUACGGGAGGCAGCAGCUAAGAAUCUUCCGCAAUGGGCGAAAGCCUGACGGAGCGACGCCGCGUGAACGAAGAAGGCCGUGAGGUUGUAAAGUUCUUUUCGGGAGGGGGAACGACCGUGGCAGGGAAUGGCCGCGGGAUGACGUGAAUCCCGGAAUAAGCCCCGGCUAACUACGUGCCAGCAGCCGCGGUAACACGUAGGGGGCGAGCGUUGUUCGGAAUCAUUGGGCGUAAAGGGCGUGCAGGCGGUCCUGCAAGUCCGGCGUGAAAGACCCCGGCCCAACCGGGGGGGCGCGCUGGAAACUGCAGGGCUUGAGUACAGGAGGGGAUGCCGGAAUUCCAGGUGUAGGGGUGAAAUCUGUAGAUAUCUGGAGGAACACCAAUGGCGAAAGCAGGCAUCUGGCCAUGUACUGACGCUGAGACGCGAAAGUGCGGGGAGCAAACA